GAUGAACGCUGGCGGCGUGCCUAAUACAUGCAAGUCGAGCGAACAGACGAGGAGCUUGCUCCUCUGACGUUAGCGGCGGACGGGUGAGUAACACGUGGAUAACCUACCUAUAAGACUGGGAUAAUUUCGGGAAACCGGAGCUAAUACCGGAUAAUAUAUUGAACCGCAUGGUUCAAUAGUGAAAGACGGUUUUGCUGUCACUUAUAGAUGGAUCCCCGCCGCAUGAGCUAGUUGGUAAGGUAACGGCUUACCAAGGCGACGAUGCGUAGCCGACCUGAGAGGGUGAUCGGCCACACGGGAACUGGGACACGGUCCAGACUCCUACGGGAGGCAGCAGUAGGGAAUCUUCCGCAAUGGGCGAAAGCCUGACGGAGCAACGCCGCGUGAGUGGUGAAGGUCUUCGGAGCGUAAAACUCUGUUAUGAGGGAAGAACAGAUGUGUAAGUAACUAUGCACGUCUUGACGGUACCUAAUCAGAAAGCCACGGCUAACUACGUG
rnacentral:rRNA from 1 species